rnacentral:lncRNA from 1 species
CAAAUUUCUAAACUCGUUGUGGUAGCUAGCUCUACUCUCCAACCACCAUGGUCCUUUAUGCCCUCCGAACUCCCAGUCAUAGCAGUCCUAUGACUGAACAAGACUUCAGGGUCUGGCUCCAAAAGGUCGACGUCAAUGGAGAUGGUCGCAUCAGCAGGCAAGAGCUACAAGACGCACUCCGUGUCCUCGGAAUGAACUGCACCAAAUGGAAGGCAUGGAGGGCAAAGAAGAAUGCUGACCUCAACCAUAACAAUUACAUUGAUGGUGAACCGGAGAUUAAGAAGCUGAUUGACUACGCGGCGAAGCGCUGGGGUAUCGUUGUCAGAAACUAAGGCACGAUGGCAUGAUAACACUGAAUCUACUAUCCCUUUCGGUUUUAGGUUCUUAACCUCUAUCUUGCAAUAAUAAGCCAAAUGCUUGUAUCUUGUAUGUACUGCUUUCUUAAGGUUCGUUGAGCAAGCUUGUAAUGGAAUAUAUAUCUUCCAUGAAGCAGGUUUGAGGUUGUUGUGCUACCGUUUUCUGCUUUUAAUCUUGUAUAUGAACUGAGGUUUCCUAGCUCAUGUGGCUUCAUUCAUUUAUUUAUUCUUGGGUGGGUCAAGAGAAAGGGUCUGCAUGCCUAUCUUUCUGUGGAUGGGUGAAAAGCAUAAAGGUUGACAUCGAGAGGAUUCGUCCCAAUCUCCCAAAUGCUCGAUAUAUAUAUAUAUAUAUAUAUAUAUAUAUAUAUAUAUAUAGUAGAGAGAGAGAGAGAGAGAGAGAGAGAGAGCAAUUUCUUGAGUCACACGCACAUGACUCCAUAUGCAUCUCUCGAAUUUUUUAUUUAUUUAUGAUUAAUUUAAAAAAAAAUUAUCAAAAUAAUUUCGAGUUCAAAUUAUUUAUGAAAAUACCGUUCAGGAGAAAAUUCUCUUUUGAAAGGACGACUUUCUUUGCCAACUCACCAACCUAACCACCAGCUGGAGGCUAGAUAGACGAAAGAAAUGAGUCGUCCUUUGAUAAGAUAGCUUUAUAAGUCGCCUUUUGAUAGGGCAACUCUCCCCUUUCUAUAGGAUGACUUUCCCCUUUUCUAUCUCUUCUUUCCUGUGUUUUAUUUACAUUUCUUUAUUUAAUAUCUUUAUUUAUUUUAUUCUCCAUUAACUUUAAAACAUAAAGAUAAAUAAGCAAAUAUCUCCCUAUUUGAAAUCAAUAAAAAUAUCAGAAAAAUUAAAAUUCUUAAGAAUAAGAAGUCAAUGCAUUAUAGGACUCUGUCCAAUCUCUAAACAGCUUGUCUAUAACAAGUUGUUUAGCUAUCCACGUCUUUCUGUAAGAUGCUUUGCACUGCCAUGCAUCACAUACAUAAGCUUGGUAGACUGAUAUGGAUAUGGAUAUCUCUACUCUAACUGAUCCUCUAAUGACAUCGGCAAUCAUACGUGCAUCAAGCUGUGGAUGAGCUCGCAUUACAUCUGUAUUCAAGCAUGUGUAUGGCCUUUUAUAUACCAUAAUCUUCUAUCACCGCAUAUUGGUCCGAAGGAAUGCACGGAGAUGCCAACUACAAAUAUCAAACUGUUUAUACACAAUGCUCCAUUUAACUCUAUUUGACUCAAUGACUUUGAAAGGAUGAUGGAUGCGAAUGAUAUAUUGUUUCACGACACGUUGGACUUGUUCUUUCGACUCAAAUACUAUUCUUUUUUUUAACUCUUCAUUCCUACUAAAUAAUGGAUGUUCUAGUAAAGCUCCAUGGGAUGCGGCCUCAUCAUCGUCGGAUACAUCAAUUAGCCUAAAUUCAGGAACAAGGGGUGCCUCAUGUGGUGGGACAUCCUCUCCUGCACUAGAUUCUCCACUAUCAUUACCAUCAGACUCUGCAUCAUUAUUAUCCUCAUCUUCAUCAUCAGUAGGAUUAGGAUCAUAACUAACAACGGCUUCAUUUUCAAAUAAAGUUAUCUCAGCCAUUACAGUUCCCAAUCCUCCUAGUCUGGUACGUGUUGUAUGUGGCUGAUUAAGUGAUAUAGGAUCAGAUUUGUGCUUCACGUGCUCCACGAUAGCUGCCACAUAACUAGGAUUGGCAUCCUAUCAUUACAUACGAUGGUGUUAUAUGAAUAUUGAUAUGCAGACUCUAUACCUACCAUGUAUUGAGGACUACUAGUCACGGAUACUGUUGGUCCACCAAUGGUACAUAUAGGGGUGCCUUCGUACUGAAUUCAAUUUUAUCGGCUAUUGGAGCUGUAUCAGAUAGAGAACCAUCCAUCUCCGAUUGUACAAGUGGGGCAGAUACAAUCUGAGAUACACUAACAUGCUGUUCAUCACCACUCUGUUUAUCAUCACCUGAAACUCUUACUACUGCUGGCUUAAUAAAAAUUUCAACAGCUUGAAAAAUCUUCUCUAAUGGGAUGCUCAAGAUGAUGUUAGUAUUCUGAUCAUCUUCAAUAGGUACAGUCAAAUACUGUCUAACGGUAUGCAUAAAAAAUCUACAUAAUAAAAAAACUCCACAGUGAUUGGGGUUCCAUCCGGUGACAAAUAGCAGACUCGCACAAGUUCUAGAUAUAUUGCAUUUCGGUCCACCGUCGUCAUCCGGAUCCUUCCACCAUCAUAAUAUGCACUGCUAGCAUUAUGACUGAUCCUCCCAUCCCAAUGGAAGAUAAUAGUGACAAGAUUUGGAUCUAUUUUAUUAGAAAUUUUGUUGAAAAUUAUUGUGAGAAGUAACUGUAUGAACAUAUAAACAGAUGUUCACUAAACAUCUAGAAAGAAGUACUUAAUAUUUCAAAUGACUUUAAUAAAUGCAUCCUAUCACUGUCUACUAGGUGAACUUAGGUCCUAUCUCAUUCAGAAAUUGUAUUAAUUCUAUAGAUAAUUAUGAUAAUCAACCGAUACGCAAUAUGGUUCGAAAAAAUUUUUAACAGUAUUCCCCUUAGUUCUUCCUACACGACUGAAAAUGUGUGAGGAGAACUAAAGAAAAAUACUGUCCAAAAUUUUUUUCGACUCCUAUUAUGCAUCGGUUGAUUAUCAUAAUUAUCUAUAGAAUUAAUUGUAAUUCUCAAAUUGUCCAAAUUGGAUAAUCAAUUGACUAAUGUAUAUAAUUCUUCCAUCCGUAUAAAAAAAAAUAUUUGUAUGGAUAUUUUAGAAUAUGUACAUUAAUCAAAAGAUGGGGCUAUGGUUUCAUGUAAUGCAAAAUUUAAAAAAAAUAUAAACUUAAUGGUUGGGCCAUGGAUUUUGGGCCCAACAUCCAACCAUUGUAAAAAUAAAUUUAUAAUUCAAAUAAAAUAAUAAAUCAUAAAAAUAAAAAAAAUAAAAAAAUUACCCUUGAGGAAUGCCGACGGCAAUACAGAAAGGUACGUCGGAGAGGAGGAGGAGAUCGGGGUUCUCGCACCGAGAGGAGGGAGGGCCGUCAGAGAGGAGGAGGGGGAUGGCCGCAGGGGACUGAGGUGGGGCAUUUGCGCCGGAGACCGAGAGGAGCAGUGGGGUUCGUGCGAGGAGGAGGGGGACCGAGAGGGAGAGAUCGCGCGGGGAGGAGGGGGCACUGAGCGGUGGAGAUCGCGCCAGAAGGAGGGGGGAUCGAGAGGGAGAGAUCGCACAGAGAGGAGGGGACCGAGAGGGAGAGAUCGUGUGGGGAGGAGGGGGGACCGACUGGUUUGUCGCGGGGAAGAGGGGGGCCAACUGUGGUUUUUAUUUUUUAUUUUGGAUAAUUCUCUUACGAGUUGGCAGUUGGAACAGUGAUUUUUACAGUCGCCGUGUGGAAGGAUGACUGAUAUAGUCGCCCUUCUAUAAGACGACUAUAAAAGUCGCCCUCUCAAACAUCGAUAUUAUAGACUGAUUCACCACCCCACACCCUCCCACAUGGCAUGGAGGGGGGGUCCAGAAGGCAUCUAAAGAUAGGGUGACUUUUUUGUGGGCAGUAGUUUAGUAAAUAUUUUUUAAGAAAUAUUAUUUUAAUAAAUAAUUUUAAAAAUAAUAGUAAAUAGGUAAAAAAUCUGCAUCUCUCUCUACGUACGUGCAUGCAUGCAUAGAGAGAAGAGGGAGGGUUUGUCAUAUGAUAAUGGAAGGACUGUUAUGGUCAAUUGGCCAAGACUAAGUUAUUGUUUUUGUUAAUUACAAUAAAUUAUAUGAUGAAUCAAACCAGUCCCAAUUUUUUUUUGACUAUAAAAUAUUAUUAAGAAAAAUCUUAAGAUCUUAUGCAAUAUUUGAAAAUUAACAUGAUAAAGAUGAAAAAUAAAAAUAAUAAUGUAGAAUAAGCUUUCAUACGGUUCAUCCAAAGCUAGGCUAUAUCCACAGUCUUGAUAGGCUAGAAAAGAUCCACUAAAAAAUAAACAGACAAAUCCUAAUGCAAUAUUUAAACUAUUACAAAGCAGAUAUCGCUUCUUAAUUUGAAACAUAUGUAUACUCUUCUUUUGGUAAAUAUUGUACGUAAUAGGAGAAGGGAUUAUGGAUAAAGAAUAUCCAUUUUUAUGAAAGAUAAUUUUGAGAAGAAAACCAAACUGUUCCAACACAAUCUUCCAUCACCACAGCCUCUUCUCCAAUUUCUCAACAAAAUCCCUUUCUUUCACUUCCUCUGAGGCUCAUAAUUAUAAGGCUCUUUUCUACAUUAUCCUACUUAUAAAAGAUUUUUUAUCUACUAGAUCUUAAUGGUAAUUGUAUGUCACUCAAAAAUACUCCUGCCUUGUAAAUUUUACCAAAAUAUGGAUCUACAACUCUUAAUUAGAUCUGUUUAAAUUUUAUGACAUCAGCUGUCAUAUGUACUAAAAUUAGAGAAGGUAUCUAAUAUAAGAAGAGUAUUUGAUGGCAUCAUCUAUAUAUAUAUAUAUAUAUGAGGGGAUUAGUACCAUUGCAAGGUUAAAUCUUUUAAUAUUACAACUAAAAAUUUAUUACUAAUUUAUAUUAGGUAAUAGAAGUCAUUGAAGAAAAAUUUAAAUUGCUCUAUUCGUUUGUGGCAAGUUGACUUCCAAUUAUACGUAGAUCCGUUCUACAAGAUAAUAACAACAUUCUUAAUGAAUAUGGUGGGGUGUCCAAGAUAGGGGAUCUCUUCACUAUAAAAAAACAGUCUUUUUGAGACCAAAUUAUUUACGAUGAAAAUAUUUUUAUCGUCAAUAAAAUUAUUUAUGAUAAAAAAAAAUAUUUAUUGUAAAUAAUUUACUAUUUACGAUGAAAAAUAUUUUUUAUCGUAAAUAGUGAGAUAUCAGCAAUGAAAAUUUUUUUAUCUUAAAUAUAAAUUAUUUACGAUGCAUAUUUUUGUAGUAAAUAAUAUGUCAUUUAUUUUAAUUUUAAAUUUUAAAAUUUUAAAAUAUUUUUAUCAUAAAUAAUUUAAGUAUUUAUGAUGGAAAAAUUUCUUUCAUCGCCAAUAAGUUUAUUUGCAACACAAAUAUUAUCGUCGUCAAUAUUUAAAAAAUGAGAAAUUUAAAAAAUUCNNNNNNNNNNNNNNNNNNNNUGAUGAAAAUUUUUUAUCGUAAAUAAUCAAGUAUUUUGAUCAAAAAAAUUUUAUCGUCAAUACCAAAUUAUCUAUUAUAAAAAUAUUUUCAUUAUCAAUAUUUAAAAAAAUUAAAAAUUUUAAAAAAAAUUAAAAGUUGUUUAUUAUUUAUGAUAAAAUUUUUUUAUUGUAAAUAAUUAAGUGUUUACAAUGAAAAAAAUUUACAUCAUAAAUACAUAAUUAUUUAUGAUAAAAAUAUUUUUAUCGUCAAUAUUUAAAAAAUUAAAAUUUUAAAAAAAAUAUAAAAUUUAAAUUUUUAAUUUUGUGUAAGGCAACUGCAUCUAUUUUUUAUAGCAGCUGUAUAUAUUUUUUAUUCUUUUACAUAGUAAAAAAGUAAAUGUGAGUUAUGAUUCAGACCAAAUUUUUGGUAUGAAAAAAUCAUAUGAAAGUGGGUGAUAUUCGCAGAAUAGAAUGAAUAGAUCUUUUUGAAUGAAAUGAGCUAUAUAUUUAUUUGCAAUAUAAAAUUUAUCUGUUCAUCACUGUCACUAUUAUUAGUGAUAUUAAUGAAUCUUUCGAUGGAAUAUCUGCCUUAAGCUGUAUGAAAGGAGCCUUCUUUUAUGCAGAAACUAUAUAGUUAAGCAGUGCAUUCUAGUAUAGCUUCUAUGAUCUUGAAAGGUACCAUAUUUUCUGCAUCGAUCGAUGCGCAAAUAUAUCUCUGUAGGAGUUUCAAUCAUGAGAAGAUAAAUAAUACGCUCAUUUAUCUUCUUAGUAAUGCAAAGUAUAAAUAUGAACUUGUAUUUUAUAACACAACUUAUACUACCCCCAGGUCUGCUUUGAUUCUGAUUAAUUGCUCUUUGAUGCUCACACAAUUUCUCUUAAAUUUCUCAAACUCGAUCCUCAGAUGCAAUAUACGAGCUUCUAGACCUCUAACUUUCUAUCCCUAUCAUAUUCUCCAAAUUCUAAUCUUGAUAGAUUUCUUUCACAAUCUCAGAAUCACCGUGAUAUUCUCGUACUUCGACUUCUGAAAUAAGAACUCCAAAAAAGAAAUGAGCUCCUUGGAGAUCGAAGACCUCAAAGCUAUUGAUCUCCCAUAGUGUCCAUUCCAUUGCGGAAGCCGAAGAACUAUUCUUAUAAUAUAUAUUAGCGACGUAAAUUAAAUUUUUUAUUGUAAUUACAUUUUUUAUGUAAUUUUUUUAGAGAAAAAAAAUUUUUUUUAGAGAAAAAUCAUAAAUUAACUAUUUAUAUAAAAAAUUUUUGAUUAAUAAAAAAUUAAUUUUUUAAUAAAAUUAUUUUNNNNNNNNNNNNNNNNNNNNGUUAAAUUUUUUUGAUGAAAAAUUUUUUUGAUGGAAAAAAUUUAAAAUUAAUUUUUUGUGAAAUUAUUAUUGAGAAAAUUUUUUAAACUAAAAAAAUUUGGAAUUUUUUUUAAAAUUAUUAACGAUGUAAACUAAAUUUUCAUCACAAAUAGUCUUUAAUUUUUUAAAAAAAUUUUUUUAGAAUAAUUUAUUUGUGAUGUAAAUUUAUUUUUCAUCGGCAACCAUAUUUUAAAAAUAUUAAUUUAAUCAAUUUUUAUGAAGAAAAAAAUUGUUAAUGAAUUUUUUUUUUAUUAGCAAUGAAAAGGAUUUUCUUUGACAAAACCAUUUUAAAAAUAAAUUUUUUUUAUUUUUUUGAAGAGAAUUAUUAGGGGGAAAAAAAUUUUUUUAGAUGAUAUUUAUUAGCGACGAAAACUAUAUUUUUAUUGUUAAUACCCUUAUUAACAAUGAAUAUUUUUAUUUCUGUUGUCAAUAAUUUAUUUCAUGAAUUUUUGGAUGAAAUUUUUUUAGAAGAAAAAUUUUUUUAGUGAAGAAUUUUUGACAGGCCUUAUUGACGAUGAAAAUUAUUUUUUCAUCGUAAAUAAGCAUAUUAGCGAUGAAAAUUUUUGUCGCUAAUAGUUGUUCGUUUAUUACAGGUCAAGUCGACGUCGUGUCCCUUCGCGUGAAACCCUCUCCCUCUCCGAGCUCUCCCCCCUCCCUCUCUGAGCUUCCACCGAUCGGCUCCACCGUUGCUUUCACUGGCCAUCACGGAUGACUCUUCUUCCCCCUCACGUACGAUCUUCCACCGUCCGACCACUAGUCUUUUUUUUUGGUUGAUUGGGCCAUCGAUGAGCGACGUCCGGCACCCCCACCGGCAUGUGCCGGUGGCUGCCAUAGCAUGGAGCCACCGGGUGGGGGGGAGGGGGCGCGGAGGGGGUCCGGUUGUGGGGAAGGGAGGGCCAUGGGGUGUGAAGGAGCGACGUCGAUGGGGGUGGGGUGGAGUCGUGGGGUUUGUCGGGGCGGGGAGGAGCAUCCGGCGAUGAUGGGUGCAGGCGCAGGAGCCGAGGGUUGGGGGGACGGUGGUGGGAGUUGGGGGGAUGGCGACGUCUUGAAGGAGGACCAGGUGCCAUGGGGUUGGGGGGACGAUGGCACGGACGGUAGAGUGCUCGGAGGGCAGAGAGGGUUGUAGGAGGCUGGGGGGCCAGAGGGUGGAGGGGGNNNNNNNNNNNNNNNNNNNNGGGACGACACAAGGGCUGGGGGGGUCGGAGGGUGGAGGGGGUGGCACGACGGGUGGGGCGAGGCUGUGGGUGGUGCGCUGGAGGGGGUUGGGUGUGGGUCAGCCGUCGAUGGAGGAAGGUCGGCCGGGGCAGGGAGGAAGGGAAGGGAGAAACGAGGGAGGAAAAAAAAUAAUAAAUUAUUAAUCAAAUAUUUUAUUAUUUGAUUAAUAAUAAAAUAUUUUUUUUAUUAUAAUUUAAUACAUAUUUUUUUACUUAUUAUAAUUUAAUAUAUAUUUUUUAUAAUUUAAUGCAUAUAAAAUAUUGGGAUUAUGAUUUAAUGUUUUAACUAGGAUUAGCCGAAUCCUUCAGUAAAUUUUUAAUGCAUAUGAACUGUCUGAUCUGGGAUCCGGAUCAAGAUCUGAUUCGGAUCCAUAUCACGAUCUAAAUUGGAUCGAAGUCGGGAUCUGGGUCGAGAUCCCAAUCUGACUUGGGAUCUAGAUCGGGAUCUGAUCAGGAUCCGAGUUGGGAUCCGAGUCGCGGAAGAUUGGAGAGGGCAGCAGUGCCGCAGCGAAGGCGCCGGCGCCACGAGAGCAGAGGUCGCUGGAGACGAGUCCAGGCUGCGUGGGGUGGGUGACGGCGGCAAUGCCGUAGGAGCGGGAGUUAUAGGGGUCGUGUUCGGACGGCGUGGGAUGGGUGAUGGCAGCGGCGCCGCGGGAGCGAGGGUCGCGGGGGUCGAGUCCAAGCGACGCAGGGUGGGUGACGGCACCGGUGCCAUGGGAGCGAGGGUCGUGGGGGCCGAAUGCAGGUGGCGGGGGGUGGGUGAUGGCGAUGGCACCGCAGUGGGUGGGUCAGGCUGUGGGUGGAUGAUGUUUAGGAAAAAAAUAAUUUUUAGAAAAAAUGAGGGAGAUGGGGAAGAUGGAGCGAAGGAUAUUCGAUGCAGGAUUGGAUUUCGUGUUAUUAUUUUAUAUUAAUAUUAUUUUACAUACUCAACUACUUAUAGUUUAUUUUAUAUUUAUUACAUAAAUUUUUUAGUGUUAUUACUGAAAUUUAUAAUUUUUUUAUUAUUCCACUAGUACAAUGCACAUUACUUUUGCUUAUUAUAAUUUAAUUAUUUUGUGUACUAUUUUAUAUGCUUUUGCUUAUUAUAAUUAAAUAUAAAAAAUAUUUUUAUUUUAAAAAAAAAUUUACUAAAAUUUUUGAUAAAAAAGAUUUUAAUACAGAGUUACUCUUUUUUGAUAAAUUAAAAAUUCAUCUCUGAAUGUAUGUUCAGAGAUGGUAGUUAAAUUGCAUUGAGCCGUAGAUUUCUAUUCAAGAAUCGAUCUUGAUCGAGAUCGACUCUUGGAUGUUCGAGAUCGACUCUUGGAUGUCUCAUAUUUAGAUUUUUUGAAAAAAUAAUAAUCUUAUUAUUGUUAAUAAUUAAUAUUUUAUUUCAUUAUAUGGUAGUCAGCAGUUAUCUGUUCACUGUUCUCUGGAUAUAUAGUGGAUAGGAUACGCAGGCACCAUAUUUAUGUCAUAUACUCGGAGAACCAUGAGGAGAUGCUGUUAAAAUUUUUACAAUAAUAAAAUAAAAUAUCAACUAAUAGCAAUAAUAAGAUUAUUACUUUUUUGAAAGGGACAGGACCACAUCUGUUAGUAAUGAUUUGAAAUGGAUAUGAUCAUGUAUUUUUGCUUUAUUAAAUUGAUGGAAGGAGAUUUUCUGUACUAUUCAGUCUGUGUUCUUUAAUGUAUGCUAUUUUGUAUAAAAUAAUCCGUGUUUGGAUUCAGAUCGAGAUUUGAUCCAAAAUUUGGAUCGGGAUUCGAUCCGAAAUCCAGAUCGAGAUCUGAUUCGGAUGAAUGCCAUUGAAAAUUUUUUUGUUGUUAAUGAUUUUCAUGUUUGUUGUUAGAUAGAUAUCAACAAAAGUUGGAUGAAUGUCAGAAGUAUUUUUUUACCUGAAUAUCGAAAAGGUGUUCUAGAUUUUAUUGAGUUUGCAUAGCAUAAGACUGAUGGUGCUAGUCAGAUAAAAUAUCCAUGCAAGAGAUGUAUCAAUAUGGUAUAUCGUCAUAUAACACUUGUUGAGGAGCAUUUGCUACAUUAUGGUAUGGACAAGAAGUAUACUCGCUGAAUAUGGCAUGGGGAGGAUGAUCUGAAUGAAGUUAUGUGCGACAAUGAUGAUACUGAAGAUGAUAAUGAUGCUGCUGAACCCGUCGAGUAUGGUGGUAUAGGAGAAUUAUUGGAUGAUUUACAUCAAGGUGUUUGAUUAAAUGUACACAUGAGUACUAGUGCAUCUGAAGGUAAUUCUGAUCAUGAACACAAUAUCUAGCUUGAGAUAGAAGAAACUUCUGAAUAAUUUACAAAGCUUGUAAGGGAUGCGGGAGAGCCACUCUAUCCAAAUUACGUAAAAUUCAUUGAGUUAGAGUUUUUGAUAAAAUUGCUUCUUAUUAAAACUGUGAACUAAUGGAGUCAGAAGUCAUUUGACCAAAAUUUGGUAAUUGNNNNNNNNNNNNNNNNNNNNUAUUUCUAUACAUGCCUGCAAAAAUGACUAUAUAUUAUUUUAGAAGGAUAACGAAUAGGCAACUAAAUAUCUGAAACGCUGUGAGCCUAGAUACAAAAUCAAUAACAGGAAAAGAAAGAAGAUACCUCAAAAGGUUUUGAUGUAUUUUCUAUUGAUUCUAGAACUUCAAAGGUUGUAUAUGUCCAUAAAAACAGCUGAAGAAAUAAGAUGGCAUCAUGAGCAAUGGAUUCUGGAGGAGAACAUACUUAGCCACCUGACCAACUCCGUAGUGUGGAAAGACUUCGAUGCAAAGCAUCCACAUUUUAUGAGUGACCCACGCAAUAUCCAGCUUCGUCUAGCAACAGAUGGAUUUAAUUUCUUUGGCAAUUUGAGUACUUUCUACAGCACAUGGCCUAUGAUGCUAGUUGUAUAUAAUGUGUCACCUUAGAAGUACAUGAAAGAACCAUUUAUUUUUAUAUUACUGUUGAUUUCAGAUUCGAAAGCAUCAGAUAAUGAAAUUGAUGUAUAUCUAUGAUCGUUAAUCGAUGAUCUGAAGGAGCUAUGAAAAAAUAGAGUACAAAUAUAUGAUUCUGUGAGUCGAAAAAAUUUUAAAUUGCAUACUUUGAUUUUAUGGACCAUAAAUAAUUUUUCUGCAUAUAAAAAUUUAUCUGAAUGGAGUACCAAAGGAUAUCUGGUAUGUCCCAUAUGCAACAAGGUAGCAUUCUCUUUACAUUUGAAGCAUGGAUGGAAAAUAUGCUUUAUGGGUCAUCGAUGGUUUCUACCUAGUAAUCACUCUUUGAGGACCCAUUACAACCAAUUCUUUGAUGGUAAGUCCGACCGACAUCCACCACCUAAGGAGUUAAGUAGAGUAGAAGUUUUAGAACAACUUGAAAUCAUUGAAAACGUUCAAUUUGGGAUAACAUCGGGUACUCGCAAGUGGAAGCAUACUGAAGUUGAGCUGAAUUGGAUGAAGUGAAGCAGACAUAUGAUUCUGUGAGUCGAAGAAAUUUUAAGUUGCAUACUUCGAUUUUAUGGACUAUAAAUAAUUUUUCUGCAUAUGAAAAUUUAUCUAAAUGGAGUACCAAAGGAUAUCUAGUAUGUCCUAUACGCAACAAAGAUGCAUCCUCUUUACGUUUAAAGCAUGGAUGGAAAAUAUGUUUCAUGGGUCAUCGACGGUUUCUACCUGGUAAUCACUCUUGGAGGAUCCAUUAUAACCAAUACCAAUACUUUGAUGGUAAGUCCGACCGACGUCCGCCACCUAAGGAGUUAAGUAGAGCAGAAGUUUUAGAACAACUUGAAAUCACUGAAAACGUCUAAUUUGGGAUAACAUCGAAUACUCACAAGUGAAAGCAUACUGAAGCUGAGCUGAAUUGGAUGGAGCGAAGUAUUUUUUUCGAACUACCAUAUUAAAAGUAGCUACUACUUCGUCAUAAUCUGAAUGUAAUACACAUUGAGAAGAAUAUUUAUGAUAAUAUCAUCGGUACAGUAUUGAACAUCUCAGAAAAAAUAAAAGAUAGUACAAAAGCUCGCCUUGAUUUGUAGAAAAUAAAAAUUCGAUCGGAGUUGCAUUUAGUUCAUCGAGGUGAUAGAUUUUUUAUGCUAUCUGCAUGUUAUUCGCUGUUUGGUAAAAAAAAGAAGAUUUUUUGUGGAUGGUUCAAAAUCGUAAAGUUUUCUGAUACUUACACUUCAAAUGUAUCGCGAUGUGUUGGCAACAAUGAUGACAAUAUCUCUGAUACGAAAAGUUAUGACUCCCAUAUGAUGAUGUAAUACUUGCUUCCUGUGAUCAUGCGUGGCUAUUUGGAUGGUGAUGUUCAAACUACAUUGAUUGCAUUGGGAGUACUCUUUCGAGAACUGUGUUGCCAAAAAUUGAAGAUUAACUUGAGAAGUUUGAGAAUAAUAUCAUCCUCAUUCUUUGUAAGUUAGAAAAAAAAUUUUCACUAUCAUUUUUUGAUGUUAUGGUGCACCUGACUAUUUAUCUUCCAAAAGAAGCUUUUUUGGCUAGAUCGAUAUAUUAUUGGUGGAUGUAUCCUAUUGAAAGACAAAAAAAUUAUACGCACUUUGUCAUAUCAGUUAUAAGAUAUAAAUAUAUUUCUAAAAUUUAAAUUUAUUUUUAUUUAUAAAUUUUUAUAUAUCUAAAAAAAAUAUAUACGCAAUAAAGCAUGGUCUGAAGGAUCUAUAGUGGAAGCAUACGUAGCUACGGAGUGUGUAAUGUUCUGCUCGAUAUAUCUUAACGAUAUCAAAAUAAGAUUCAAUCAUACAGAUCGUAAUGCAGACCGUGAAUGGGGUGAUAAUGAACCGACACUGUCCAUAUUUAAACAAACAGUUCGACCCAUUGGUGGAAGGCGAUAUGAAUUUAUGGAUGUGAAUGAGCUAUUCAAGGCACAUUUUUAUAUUCUAAAUAAUUAUAAUGAAAUUAAAAAUUUUAUUGAGUAAGUACUAUCUUAGCAUACUGUUUAAUAUUCUAAAUAAUUUUUUCAUAUCGAUAUAAAAUUAAAAAUCAUGAUUUGUUGCAGUGAGCACAAGAAUAUACUAUCCAGAGAGAAUAAUACGGAUGCUGAUGAUCGACAUAAAAAGAAAUUUAUAAAAUAGUUUAGAGAUCUUGUAAGUUGCACUAGUAAUAUAUUUUUUUAAUAAUUAUAUAAAUAAUUAUUUGAAUCAACAUAAUUUUUUAUAUUAUGGUGUAGAUGAAAUAUAAGUAUUUUAAUAAAGAAGAGGGUACGAUCGAUGAGUUGUAUGAUUUAGCACGUGACCUCGAUCUGAGGGUUAACCACUAUGCAUUCUGUAUCAUUAGAGGAAUGAGAUUUCAUACAAGAGAGCUUGAGAUGCAACGACAGAUCCAGAAUAGUGGGAUUGCUAUGAUAUGAUAUGAAGAAGAAGAAGAGAUUGAAUAUUAUGGUGUACUGAUAGAUAUCAUAGAACUAAAGUAUGGGUAUAGUAAUUCUAUAUUCUUGUUUCAGUGUGAAUGAUGGGAUAUUAGCAAUAAAAAGAUCGAUAUUCAUAUCAAUCCAUACUUUAUCAGUGUAAACUUGGCACAAAUAUGGUAGUAGAAUGAGCUGUAUAUAUUAGCAACUCAAGCGAAAUAAAUAAUAUAUUUGAAGGAUCUAAAGUAUCGAGGUAAUUGGCAUGUCGUACAAAGAAUAACACCUAAAGACGUAUAUGACAUACCAAUCUGACUAGAGAUGGAUGAAAAUUUAGAUUUAUAUGAAGAGGAAGCUUUUCAAGAGGAAAAACAAAUAUUAGCCGAGCUUCUUGUUGGUGAAGAACUUGUAACAGCUCAUUUGAAUAGGGCUGAUCUGCCAUCCAACAAAGUUAAAGCUGAUUUUGUAUUUAAUCUUGAUGAGUCAGAGGGUGACGAUCAGUUCAUAAAUGACGAUAAGAUAGAAGACGAUAUAUUAGUCGAUUAUUGUGAUUCAGAGAAGGACCUACACAUCGAGAAGAUAUGAAUAUUGAUGAGUGAUUUAUAUUCUUUGUUGAAUCUUCUUUUAUAGUAAUGGUAUGCGAUAUAAUUAUAUUCAUUAGAAUAUAAUUUAUUUUUUACUAUUAUUAUUUAAUAUUAUAUUUAUUUAUAUGUCAAAAAUUAUAGGUAUGGCAUCAAGAGACAGACAAUGACGUUCGUAUUUGCAGUCUACCCCUGAGGUUGAGGCACCUUCACCCAUUUCCACUACCGCACCAGCAGAGUCGCCAGAGGAUCCUACACUGGCAAGUCCCAGUGAGGUAGGUCCGAGUGGUAUUAUUAUACUUUUUAUGUAAUAAAAUUUAAUUUUUUAUUUGGAUAGCUUCAUACUAAUGAUUUAUUUAUUAUUAUUUCAGGCCAGUCUCUAUUAGUGGUGAGGUAAGGGUGAGGUCCAUUAAAGAACCUCACUCUAGAGCAUUGGAAAUGCGAGGACCUGGGACAGCGUCUCCAUAUUGAAAUACCACCCGACUACACCAGAUCCAUUAGGAGAUGGUGCGAGCUGUGGCAGACUGAGCUGGACAUCAUAUGCCGCAGCUAUGCCUCCGUGAUGCUUUUCGAUUGACGUCAUGUUAUACGGGCUCAGAGAGUUUUUUUAUACCUAGUUAUAGAUAAAAUAAAUUAUAUUAUAAAUAUUUAAUUAGCAUAAUAUUCUUCUAAUAUUUAUUAUUGACAGGGUGUAUUUGAUAUUAUUGAUUUUGAGGAGGAUCACGUGCGGCAAGCUGUGGACGUUUAUUUAUGCUUGCAUUUCAAGGAGUAUCAUCACCGCAUUCAUCAGCACUGGUACCAUGUGAUGCAGGACCAUGGGGUGGAGGCAGCGCGGCAGCGGCCGUAUGACAGCACACUAUGGAUGAUUAGACUCUCGUAUGCCGGCAUUACAAGAAUCCUGUAUAUCAGGUUACACAUCCGAACUUCUUUUUUUUGAGAGUUUAAUAAUUGAAUUAUUUAUUCUUAAAUUCAGUUUAUUACCUACUAAUUUGACUGCUAACUGUACAGAGACGAUAUGUCCAGAGCACCGCAAAUCGGACGAGACAGAUUGUGUCACAUUGUGGGGGUUUAAGGUCGUUCACUCGUCAUAUGAAGCAGAUGGUAAGUAAUUUCUAAUUAGCAUAUUUUAACUCUCUAACUAUUUAAUUUUUUUUUAAUUAAUUAUUCUCAAAUUGUAGAGAGAUGCAGAGAGUGGCGAGCUUUCUGGGAGGACCGAUAUCUACCAGCAGACCCACCAGCGACGGUCAGGAGAGUGGACGAUGGGGAGUCAGGAGCUUUUUAUAAGUUUUUUCAAUUAUUUUUUUCAUUUGCAGUUUGAUUUUCAGUACAAAAUUAAAAUAGCUAUAACUUUAAUUUUCAGGAUCGUAUGAUAGGUAUCAGAUCCCAGCCUACCCCUGAAGGCUCGACCGCACCUACAGAUGACGAGAUCUGUGAUCAGGUGCUUGGUAUGAGAUCCUGUUAUGUUAGGGAUCUAGGGUAUGGGAUCAGUGUUCUCUCAUCCUCACGCUCGUCCAGGACUGACAUCCAUGUUACUUGCGAUACUCGAAUGCGAAGAUACAGAGGUAGGCUACCGAGGAUCGACAGUGGGCUGAGCAGCAAGCUGAUGAGUUGGCUGCACGUAUCGACGAGUACCAACUGCUCCAGAUCCAGAUGAUGGAGCGGAUGGCACAGAUGAAGUAGAUGAUGUAGCUGAUGAGGUAGUAGCAGAUCGAUCCGAGCUCUUUCGAGCACUCUUCUUUCCUAGUCUGUUCUCCUUCUACAGAUGCCGAUACUUGACGGUUUGUUUAUAUUUCUUUUUAUUUUUAUUUUAGAUUUUUUUAUAAUUUUAAUUUAAUAUAAUAAAAUGAUAAAAUUUAUUUAUGAAUUUAUUGUGUGAAUUUCUUAUUUUAAUUUUAUAGAUUAUAAAUAAAAAAAUAUUAUAAAUAUAAAUUAAAAAUAUAUAUUUAUAAAUUAUUUUAAAAAAUUAUGUGUAAUUUUUUAGCAACAAAAUUACUUUCGACGAUAUUUUGGUCACCAAAAAAUUUAUUAACGAUAAAAAUAAUUGGUUGUAAAUAAUUUUUUUAAUAAAUUUAAAAAUAUUAAAAUUUUAUAUUAAAUUAUUAACGAUGAAAAUAGUUUUCUCAUAAAUAAUUGUUAAUUUAGUAGUGAUGAAAAUUUUUAUCAAAAAUUAUUAUAUUUACAACAAAACUUUUACGUCGCUAAUAUUUUUUUUAUAAAUCUGAAUUUCAUAAAAAAAUUUUAUUAAAUUAAUAGAGACGAAAGUAUUUCAUUGUAAAUAAUUUUUUAAAUUAUUUUUUAUUAGCUACAUAAUAAUUUAUCGUAAAUUAUUUUUUUUAGGAUAAAAAUAUUUUAUUGCAAAUAGUUUUCAAAAAAAAAAAUUUUAAUGAUGAAAAUUUUUGUUCGGUAAUAUCGAUCAUUGAUGAUGAAAUUUUUUUUUCAUCGUAAAAAAUUAUCAACGAUGUCAUUAUUUGCGAUUAAAUAUCAGCGACGAUAAUUUUAUCAUUAAUAACUAUUACUGACAAAAAUAUAGUAUUAGCAACGAAUUUUUUUAUGUCACUAAUAUCCUGUUCUGUUGUAGUACCUUUAUAUAUAUAUAUAUAUAUAUAUAUAUAUAUAUAAUAAGUANNNNNNNNNNNNNNNNNNNNAUAUAUAUAUAUAUAUAUAUAUAAAAUAGGGCAACUUGUUAAUUUUGAAGCAAAAAACCAUAAUAGCAUUUUUUUCCCCUGCCAUCCUCAACGACAACCCUUUUAUAUAAGUCAUGUUCAAUGAUUUUAAAACUUGUAUGAUGAUGCUACUACAAAGAAAGAAAAGCAAAUGAAAAUGUUCAAAGAAAAUUUACUAGUUCGUUAAUAAAAAAGAGUUACCAACUACAAAGUGUCCCCAAUCAGGCUUAGCAAGCCCACAUCCAUAUAAUAUAGAUAAAUUGAAACAUAGAAGACCCUCUCCUCAAGUACACGCAUGUGGCCGCCUAGCCUCCUCUACUUUUCAUGGGAACAUGUACCUAAAAGGAAAAUUUGAAAUUGAUUUUAGCAUUAGAUCAUUGGGUAUUUUGAAUUUCAUCUAGGAUCAGGGUUGUUAGGAUGGUCGUUUAUUAUAUCCAUGCAAUAUUUUUGUCACGGUAAUUUAUGGGAAUAUGUUAACUAAGAUAGAAAAUAACUCUUCCUAACAAAGAGACUUUCGAUCACAUAUAAAGAUCCAGAAAAAAAGAAAAAAAAAAGAAGACUAUAGAUGAACUACUAUCAUGAGAACCUUGUCAGGUUAAAGAUCCAAAUCUAACUACUAUCAACUUAUGAUUACCUGCAAAUCAAUCUAAUUGUAAUGCCCAAGAUCUCAUACUUUAUACUAGUUGGAAAGUGUUGGAGCUAAAUAAAUACUGAUAUGGGUUCUCAUAUGAGUUUUUAUCUAUUAUGUUCAUGUUUGAUAGAGAAAGAAAUAAAUAUGUUAUCUUUUAUUACUUUUGAGAUGUUGUGUACCACAAGAGUCAAAAAUGUGUUGGUAUUGUGUCUCAAGAUGAUACACAAUCUCUCAAGUGACCAACUCAAUAGGUUGUACUCUAUAUCGUAGUUCUUAGGUAAAAGGAAUCCACUUAAAUAUAUGACAAUGAUGUGAAUUUCUCUUUACACACCAAGCUUUGCCAUUGGAUUCUUGUAAAGGUGAGGAAUAAAGAAAUCCUAGGGUCAAUGUAGUCAAGCCAUUACUAUGGUACUGUUCCAAGUUAUGUGUUCAAUGAAAUGUCCAAAAGCAAAAUUGAUUGUUCACAGAUUUUAUUGUUGUUAUUUCUAUAAAUUUUGUAGAAAGAACACUGUUAAUUUUUUUUUUAAAAAAAAUAUUUUUAUUCAUUUCCAGGGGCCAUCUAUAUUGGAUGCCUUUAACCUUCAUCAUCACUAGUUAAGGAUAUGUUACUGAAGGCAAGGGCAUUGUAGUUUAUUGUAAAAUGGAACAAAUAAUAUUAACCUUGAAAAAGUGAAAAAUAAUAAUUGUUUAUAGAAUUUUCUUUACAUUACUAUUUUUGACAAUAAAUACAAGCUGAAUCCUUAUUAGUUAAAUGAAAUAGUAAUUACUGAUUUGUGCUAGUUGUAUGCUAUGAAAGGAUACUAUAUCCGGACACAUAUCUACAUGUCAAUGUGAUACCUCCUUAAGGGUUCCAUGUGCAUUCUUCUCAUUCCUAUGUCUGUUGAAGAUUCUUAUGACUCAAAUCGUUAUAACCUUAUUGGGCAAGAUUUUUUCCGAUAGUUGCUUUAAAGCAUCUCAAUCUUCAUAUAUGCCCGCACUUCUUAAUAUGAUUUAAAUUAUCUUGGGCAUCAUGAGAUUAGUAUUGUCGGGUUUGCAGGUAUUUCAAAUAAUCAAUGAUAUAGUGAGAAAUUAAUUUGUAUUAAUUAUAAUUAAUUUUAUUUUUGUAGUCUGUUUCAGGAAUUUCAAAUUUUAUGUGGGAAUCAAGGGGACCAAUUUGUUUCCUAUUAGAUGAUUGCCUUCUUUUUUUUUUAAAUGUAUUGUUUCUUUUUCUUAAUGAUGGGAUAUUGUAUCUUUUACCAUUUUAUGUGACUUGUACUAUGAGGGAAAUUUAUGGAAGCUUUGAUUGAGUCAAAGAGGUCUAAAUUUGUUAUCUCACGAUGUGAUGCAGCAUAAUCUAUCAGUUAACCAAAUCUAUUUUUUUUUUUUUGCCCGUUAGAUAAACUUUGUUCCAGAACACUUCUUAGUGUGAAAGAAUCCACUUUAUCAUUGAUAAUGAUAUGAAAUGCCCUCUGUAUCAAUAACUUAGCCAUUUGAUUCUUGUGGGGGUGGUGGAGAAAACAGAAUCUAUAGUCAUUGUCAUCAAACCCCUACCUUUGACCUUUCUAAAAAUUGUAUAUAGUGAAAUUUUAAAACAAAAUUGGUUUCCAAUAGAUUCUGCCACUUUUAAUUUUGUGAAUUUUGUAGAUAGAAACUGUCAUCUAACUACUAUUUAUAUGUGGUGGUCUUUUAUAGAUGGAAAUUUUUGUGUUGGAACUCUCUUUUUGUAGAGAGACCUUUUUCCUCAUCAUUUAGGAGGGACAUGUCUUUCUUAUGAUUCCAGUACAACUACAAGGGAAUAAGAAUGGUAAACUAUUUUUGAGGUGUAGGGGACCCAAUUUCAAGCAUACUUCCCCUUUCUGAUUCUCAAUUGGGAAGAAAAAUGUCUAUCUCUUAAUCCUAUGCUUGAGAAACCAUGUACAUUGCACAUGUAAAAAACUAUGUUUUUCUUUAGAAAAGGAUUAAUUUAUUCAUUACUCAAGAAUUUUAUACCAUCUUGACAAUUGAUCUAGCAAGCCUUAUUAUUCAACAGCAUAAAUUCUAGUAAGAUCCAUAAUAAAUGCUUUUGCAAAAGUAAGAGUAUAAACCAUUUUCAUGAAAAUUAAAAGUGAUAAUCUUUUUACAAAUUAAUUUUAUAUUACUAUUUUUGAUAAUUAUUACCCUUAAAUCCUUGUUUGUCUCACAAUAUAGUGAACCAAUCUCUGUGUUCCUAAAGAGGACAACAAUAUUGUUUGAAUAUGUAUCCACCAUAUUGAUGUAACAUCUCCUAGAAAAAGUUAGGAGGUCUCUUAAUUAAUAUUUAUAUUUCAUAAAUAGAAAUUGAUGAAAGUCCAUAAAGAAGGUUAUCUACCACUUUUAAUUUUGUGAAUUUUGUAGAUAAGUGGUGGUCUUUUAUAGAAUGAAAUUCUCUCUUACAGCUCGAAAUUUUUGUGUUGAAACUAUCUUUUUGUAGAGGGAUAUUUUUCCUGUCGUUUGGGAGGGACAUGUCUUUCUUAGGGUUUCAGAACAGCUACAAAAGAAGGAAAAAAUGGAGAUGCACCUCCAAAAAAGGAGAUGCACCUCCAAUAUUUUUGAGGUGCAGUUUUCCCAAUUUCAAGCAAACUUCAUCUUGUUGAUUCUCUGAAAAAAGAAAUUUGUUUAUCGGUUAAUCUUAUGCUUGAGAAGCCACAUACAAUGAUCUAGCAAACUUUCUUAUUCAAGGGGAUAAAUUAUUGUAAAAUCCAAAAUAAACGCUCUUGCAAAAAUAAAAGUAUAAACCUUUCUUAUGAAAAACAAAAAGUGGGAAUCUUUUUACAAAUUAAUUUUACAUUAUUACUUUUGAUAAUUAAUACCUUUAAAUCCUUGUAGUUCUCACAAUAGUGAACCAAUCUCUGUGUUCCUAAAGAGGACACCCAAUAUUGUUUGAAUAUGUAUCCACUAUAUUGAUGUAAUAUCUCCUACAUAUCUGGAAAAAGUUUGGAGGCCUCUUAAUUGAUAUUUAUAUUUCAUAAAUAGGAACCGAUGAAAAUCAACCUUUUUCCUCAAAAAAAAAAAAAAAGACAGGCAAAAAGUUGAAUUAGUUUGCCAUGACUAUUUUGAGAACACCAAAACUCUAUUGUAAAUACAAUUUAAUAGUCUUGGAUCUUGGAAAAUGCAAGAGGUUGUUGUCACAUCCUAUCUUCAUUCCUUUCCCAAUAUAUGCAAGAUAUCAAAGUAUAUAUCAGUCAAGCUCCCAAUAGGGUUAUAGAUUUUUAGAAGACUUGGAAUUCCAAAGUGCUUGACAAAACCAAUUUUGAUAGACUUUGCUUAAAAAGUGCACAAAUAAGGUUAUCUAGCUAAUGCCAAUCAGCAUGUUAUUAUUACAAACCCAAUAGUUGAGGAGUUUUAUCACAUUCAAAAAAUACUACAUAUUCUUGGGAUAAGAUGAUACGAAAAUGACUCCAUAUAUUCUUGUGAAAAUAUUUGGAUAACAUAAUUUUGUCCUGUUCUUCCACCCCCUCCAUCCCCACCCCCAACACUUUGAUGCUCUGCUUUUGGCUUUGGCAUCACACCACUUUUAAAAGUCCCCCUGGAUGAUGGAGUCUUCUUGUAUUCCUUUCUCUGAUUGAAGAACCCUCUUAUUUUCUAUCAAAAGACUUGUAAUAAAACUCUCUAGCAAAUAUUGAGCGAACCAAAAAUUCAUUUUGUUUAGCUAGAAUCGUGAAAAGACAAAAAGCACUUGAGUACGAGACUCUUUAUCCAUUUGUAUUGUCAUUCCUUUGUUGAAGAUUCUUGAGAGUCAAAUUAUUGUAAUCUUGUUGGUCAAGCAUUUCCUCAGUGGUUGCUAUGGAGCAUCUCAAUCUUCGUAUAAGCCAGCACUUCCUCCUAUGUUUUAAAUUAUCUUGAGAAACAUGAGGCAUCACAUUUGGUAGUGUAGGAUUUUCAUUCAUUUCAAAUGAUCAAUGCUGUACAAGAAAUUAAUUUGCAACCAUUAUAUUUUUUUAUUUCCAAGUUUUAAUGAAAAAGAAAAAUCCGACUAUUUUAAGUAUAUAUUUAGUUAAUUUCCAAUGUUUCAUUUAGGGUUCUUGGAAAAGAUCACCAAAGGAUGUUGCAAGAAAAAUGAAUAUUAUAGAUUUAUAAUCUAGGAAUACCGAAAGAACAUGCCAACUUAUUUUGAUCAGUUCAUGAUUCAUUUUAUCAUCUAUGUCAAAGAGUUGUAAUGUCUUAUGAUAGUUUUUUGAAGUUGUGAUGGUAAUUGGUACUGACAGGAAUAUUAUGAGAUCUUAUUCUUAUUAAAUUAUCAGUUUAGAUUUGAUCAGUUUUGUUUUGCAAAUAGGGGUCCAUGCAAGACUCAAUUAACCACAUCCGGGGAAUAUAUAACCAUGAGACUUGGCCAUAACUAUACAAAAAAUGGAAAAUUGUCAUCCGUGUAUUCUCCCAAGCAUUGUUCCUCUCCCCGCCGACCUAUCUGAUUGUUGAUUCUCCUCUUACAAAUUAUGGAUGACUUGGAAAUUAGGAAAAGAGUCUAUUGACCCAUGACCUUCAACAGUGGUUGCGGGCUGGACCUUCUUGUCAAGAUCCUUGCUCUCAUGUUUUUCUUUUCCAUCGAAUAAAGGGAUGAUAGUCAUGUUGUCCCAAAUUCUUCUCAAGAAAUGUUGUCCCAUUUUUCUGUAUUUCUCUGCAUGAAAGGGCUCGAACCUAAGCAAUAUUAUUAAUGUAUUCUGGAAUAAAGUAGGACUUACAAGCAUGUACUCAAGUCCCGAUAAGACAUUUGACAAAAUACCGAAAUAGGAUACCAUCUCAAGUAUCAAGACAGAGCCAUCUUGCUAUUGCUCCAAUAUUCUGACCGGCAUGUCUUCCAUCUCCUUUGUCCCAAGAGAAAUAGAACCUUGUAAGUCUCUUGGGAAUCCUGAUUCCGAGGAGCCAGAUGUAGUAUUCAAAAUUCCCUAUUCAUAAAGCUAGUUCUUCUUCUUCUUCUUCUUCUUCUUUUCUUUUUUUUUUUUUUUUUUUUUAAGUUUGAUUGACCGAUUGACUCUGUAAAGGCAGAAUCGAAAGGAAAAAGAUGAUUCUCUUUAAAAAGAAUACCGACGGGCAACUUCUGCUGCUCAACUAUUAUUGCUGAGUGACCUUUAACCCAUAUGUCUAGAAUUAAAAGAUGAAAUCUGGCAAUAUGCAUGCUAUCCCAGCAUGCUCAAAACUCAAAUUGGAGAAUAGAGAUGCCCCAGAAAGGGAGAAACCUGGUUAAUUUCAUUUUCUAUGAACCAGAAGAUAGAUAGGGCUCUCCCAUUUAUCUCUUAAAAUAAGAUCAUUCAUCGGGAUUAUACUCAACUGCUUUUUGGAGACUAUGAUGGAGAUCUCUAUAUGCAGCUUUUUGAUUACUCACGGGAUCACUAAACAUGCUGCAUUUUACCUGCAACAAAUGCUACUAUUUCUAAGGGGGUAUUUGAUUCGUGCCAAAAUUAGAAUCAGAAUGGAUUAGAAUGAAAAUUGGAAUUGCCGUAUUUCGUGAUUGGAGUUAGAAUCAGAAUUAGAAUAGAGAUUUGAAUGAGAGUUGGGAUUGGAUUUUUGAGGUAUUGGAUCAUUUCCAUUCCUUCUCAUAAUUAAAAUCGGAAUAUAACUCUCACCAACCAAAUAGUUAAAAUGAGAAUCGUCCAUUAUUCUUCAGAUCCUCCCAACCAAACACCCUCUGAAUCUUUCUUUUGCCUAUAUCUAAGAUUAGCCUCUUUUUUAAAUCUUAUAUAAUUAGCAUUGAGAGUUUACGUCUAAUCUUGUAUACUCUUGCAUAGUCUAAUUUUCUCUAUGAUGUACUCUCUUGCCCUUCAAUUUUUCUAAUAAAUUCUGAUGACUAAUGUGGGCCUUACCCAUUUGUCCUUUUUCUAAAAAAAAAAAAGAAGGGAUUUAUCUCUUAAAAAUAUAAAAAUAUAAUGAAUAAAUUAAGUGCGGCAACAACAUCAACGAGGACAUGGAUGAUUGCAAUUACUAAUUUUGAUCUCUAGUUUGAUGCGCUUAUUGGGUAUCCCUAUCCUUACUUUAUGCACAAAACGAAUGCCAUUAUUGAUGGUUUUUUAUAUUUUAUUUUUCGAAAAGAAGCAACAGAUAUAAACACGACACAAAAAGAGUCACAAAAAAUAGGCAUCUUACACGACGGAAAUUGGAGAAAUCUGUUCAGGUGUUAUGUCAUUCAACCCAACCAUCAGCAGGUGUCUUAUCUGUGGUCUUUUUGUCGGUUCUGGGGAUCCUUUGGCUCUAACAAUAUAAUAGUGUAUGGAUCGAUCGAACUGAUACGAGAGAAACAAACUUUGAAAUGGUGUUUUCCCAAUCUAGCCAUGUAUGGGGAAACUGAAGUCAUGUCCUGGUCUCCAUUCCUCGACCCAUUUCAUCAAUAGGAGACCUUUUUGCUCACGUAAACUUCAGUCUUGAGGCCCAAAUAAAUGGAGGAACAUGCAAUUGCCGACAUGCUUCAUCCAUACUUUUAUCAAGCAUUUCUUGUCGUUAGCUAAAGGUUCCGGAUUACUAUCGCGUUCCAUCUCUCUAAAAGACUCGGAAUGCAACUUUCGGUGUUUGCCUUCGCAUCUAUCUUUACUCAAAAGAUAACACAGACUUCAGAUAAGCCAAAACAUCUGAUCUCAGGUUGAUGACUUCUAUAUCAGAAAAUAGUGAUAUAUACUGAACAAAAUUCACAUAGUGAAUAUAGUUUUAGUAAUUAAUGACUUGGAUGAAGGAGUUACUGCUACAUAUUUAAGCUACUACCAGAAUUCAAAAGAAAUGCUACACUUGCAUCGCAAAGAGUUUAUCCUUUUCCUUCCCCUUUCUCUGUUUUUUUUUUUUUUUUGAUUCUUUUGGCUCUUGUUGUAGUAGGCAGGGAGAAUAACAAAGCAAUAAAAAAAAGGGAAAUAACAAAAAUGCACAAUAUUUACAUGCUUCUGUUUGUGGAUCUAUAUUCGUGAGCGGAGACGAUGCAAAAUUUCACUCUAGAAAAUUAAAAAUUAUAAGGUAUAACAUUUCCUCUCAAACCCUAGCCCUCAUUUGCUUCGGUUGUUAUACUAUAAUUAAUUAAUCCACUCGUUUCGCUAACAAUUCAUUUCAGAAAAAAAGAUCCUUUUUUGGUUUUCUAGGACUCAUAAACUCAAGACAUGCUCAACGGCUAGUUCUUUACUUUCUCUUAGCUAGAGACGAUGGACCAAAUUCAAUUUAUUAUCUGAAUGGAAAUACUAGAAUUGUUCUAGAUUUAAAAGCCUAGCAUAAGGUUUCCACAUGAGCUGGAGCAAGGCAUCAAUGCCUUGGUAGCCUUCUAACCCAAGGCACCAAUGGAAGGGGAUAAGGUAGAGGCAUGCUCAACAGGAGAGGAAUCACCAAUGGCAAUCAUCACCCGAGCAGAAUCAGGAACUUUGGUUUCUAAGGCAUCAAUUAUUGAUAUUGUGGACCUCACCGGCCUCCACUGGAAUGAAACCACGUGUCAUGUUAUUUGUUCGCAUCUCAGCUUGUUAUCAGUCUAUAAAUAUGGCCAACCUACUUGCUAGUUAGACCUGUGGUGACCAAAUUUCUGAUCUCGUUGUAGUAGCUAGCUCUAUUCUCCAACCGCCAUGGUCGUUUAUGAUCCCGGUCAUAGCAGUCCUAUGACUGAACAACAAUUCAGGGUCUGGCUCCAAAAAGUGGACGUCAAUGGAGAUGGCCGCAUCAGCAGGCAAGAGCUACAAGACGCACUCCGUGUCCUCGGAAUGAACUGCACCAAAUGGAAGGCAUGGAGGGCAAAGAAGAACGCUGACCUCAACCAUAACAAUUACAUUGAUGGUGAACCGGAGAUUAAGAAGCUGAUUGACUACGCGGCGAAGCGCUGGGGUAUCGUUGUCAGAAACUAAGGCACGAUGGCAUGAUAACACUGAAUCUACUAUCCCUUUCGGUUUUAGGUUCUUAACCUCUAUCUUGCAAUAAUAAGCCAAAUGCUUGUAUCUUGUAUGUACUGCUUUCUUAAGGUUAGUUGAGCAAGCUUGUAAUGGAAUAUAUAUCUUCAAUGAAGCAGGUUUAAGGUUGUUGUGCUAUCUUUUUUCUUCUUUUAUUUUUAUAUAUGAACUGAAGUUUCCUCGCUUGUGGCUUCAUUC